rnacentral:lncRNA from 1 species
GGUAGCACUAUGUCCAGUUUUCUGAGGAACCACCAGACUGAUUUUCAGAGUGGUUGUACAAGCUUGCAAUCCCACUAGCAAUGGAGGAGUGUUCCUCUUUCUCCACAUCCCUGCCAGCAUCUGCUGUCACCUGAGUUUUUGAUCUUAGCCAUUCUGACUGGUGUGAGGUGGAAUCUCAGGGUUGUUUUGAUUUGCAUUUCCCUGAUUACUAAGGAUAUUGAAAACCUAAUACUAACACUCUUUAAACUAUUCCACAAAAUAGAAACAGAAGAUACUCUACCCAAUUCGUUCUAUGAAGCCACAAUUACGCUUAUACCUAAACCAUACAAAGACCCAACAAAGAGAACUUCAGACAAAUUUCACUUACGAAUAUCGAUACAAAACUACUCAGUAAAAUUUUCACAAACUGAAUCCAAGAACACAUCAAAACAAUCAUCCCUCAUGAUCAAGUAGGCUUCAUUCAAGGGAUGCAGGGAUCCAUCAACGUAAUUCACUAUAUAAACAAACUCAAAGAAAAAAAAACUACAUGAUUAUCUCAUUAGAUGCUGAGAAAGCAUUUGACAAAAUUCAACAUCCCUUCAUGAUAAACAUCUUGGAAAGAUUAGGAAUUCAAGGCCCAUACCUAAACACAGUAAAAGCAAUAUACAGCAAACCAAUAGCCAACAUCAAACUAAAUGGAGAGAAACUUGAAACACUAUGACUGAAAUCAGUGACUAGACAAGGCUGGCCACUCUCUCUAUAUCUAUUCACCAUAGUACUUGAAGUCCUAGCCAAAGCAAUUAGACAACAAAAGGAGAUCAAAGGGAUAUAAAUUGGAAAGGAAGAAGUCAAAAUAUCACUAUUUGCAGGUGAUUAUUCUUUGCAGAGGACCCACGUUCAAUUCUCAGCAACCCACGUGGCAGCUUGCAGCCACCUGUAACUUCAUAUUUCCUGGGCACACGGGUGGCAUACAUAUAGGUAAAAUACUCAGACAAUAAAAAUAAAUAUAUCUUUAAAAGAAAGACUAGAGAAAGCUAACUGAGCUCUAAGCAUGCACACAUUUAUUGCAAACAGAUAUACAUGCAGGUAAAAUAUUCACAUAAUAAAAUAAAUGUAUUUUUAAAAGAAUAGAAAAAGCUGAUUACUGAGCUUGCAUAUUUAUUUUUUCUCUGCUGGUGAUUGUAGCUGUGACAUGACCAACUGCCUUAUGCUCCUGCUGCAGUGAUGAGUUAGAAUCUGGAAUUGUGAGCUGAAGUACAUUGUGUCCCCAGGGUGGCCAGGGUGUUUUUAUCACAGCAACCAAUGAAAUGAAACCAAAACAAGCACUAUGUAGCUCAGCCUGACUCUCAAGGCAGCCUGGAAUGUUCUGGAACAAACCUUUUGGGCCUCAGUUUUCUGAUCUGUAAAAUGGGACGGUAAUGAUGAGAACUAUAUAAAGAUAAAAUCCUGGGUGAAGUCCGUGGCAUGCAGGAUGCUGCUAACACUCUGUGGCAGGACAUUCGGUGCUGGUGCUAGUGUGCCUCAUUAGCCAGAGAAAGCCCUGCUCUGCCUGGGCUCCUUCUGGGACCCAGAUUUCCUUUCCUCCUCUCAGAAACAUCUGGAAUGCUGAUUCUUGCUUCCCUCAGAAGUAAAAUGAACAAAACCCCCAUGAAGCCAGCCAGUGUGGGCCGAGAGCUGUGUGACCUGUGCCGUCCCUGGAGACUGGCUCAGGAGG